rnacentral:rRNA from 1 species
UGCAAGUCGAGCGGUAGAGAGAAGCUUGCUUCUCUUGAGAGCGGCGGACGGGUGAGUAAUGCCUAGGAAUCUGCCUGGUAGUGGGGGAUAACGUUCGGAAACGGACGCUAAUACCGCAUACGUCCUACGGGAGAAAGCAGGGGACCUUCGGGCCUUGCGCUAUCAGAUGAGCCUAGGUCGGAUUAGCUAGUUGGUGAGGUAAUGGCUCACCAAGGCGACGAUCCGUAACUGGUCUGAGAGGAUGAUCAGUCACACUGGAACUGAGACACGGUCCAGACUCCUACGGGAGGCAGCAGUGGGGAAUAUUGGACAAUGGGCGAAAGCCUGAUCCAGCCAUGCCGCGUGUGUGAAGAAGGUCUUCGGAUUGUAAAGCACUUUAAGUUGGGAGGAAGGGCAGUUGCCUAAUACGUAACUGUUUUGACGUUACCGACAGAAUAAGCACCGGCUAACUCUGUGCCAGCAGCCGCGGUAAUACAGAGGGUGCAAGCGUUAAUCGGAAUUACUGGGCGUAAAGCGCGCGUAGGUGGUUUGUUAAGUUGGAUGUGAAAUCCCCGGGCUCAACCUGGGAACUGCAUUCAAAACUGACUGACUAGAGUAUGGUAGAGGGUGGUAGAAUUCCACGUGUAGCAGUGAAAUGCGUAGAUAUGUGGAGGAACACCGAUGGCGAAGGCAGCCCCCUGGGUCAAAACUGACGCUCAUGCACGAAAGCGUGGGGAGCAAACAGGAUUAGAUACCCUGGUAGUCCACGCCGUAAACGAUGUCAACUAGCCGUUGGAAGCCUUGAGCUUUUAGUGGCGCAGCUAACGCAUUAAGU